UAUAUACUCCCUUCGUCCGGAAAUACUUGUUAUCAAAAUGGAUAAAAGGGAUGUAUCUAGAUAUAUUUUAGUUUUAGAUACAUCCCUUUUUGUCCAUUUUGAUGACAAGUAUUUUCGGACGGAGGGAGUAUAAU
rnacentral:pre_miRNA from 1 species